GCUGGCAGUGCCAACAACCAGAGCAGACUGGUGUGGCCCAGGCAUCUCUGCGUGAGUAUCUCUCUGAGUGCCUCACUCUUAAGCACGACUAAGAGGCCUCUGUGCCUUCC
rnacentral:pre_miRNA from 14 species